GUAGGUGGCAAGCGUUGUCCGGGAAUUAUUGGGGCGUAAAGCGCGCGCAGGCGGUUCUUUAAGUCUGAUGUGAAAGCCCACGGGCUCAACUGUGGAGGGUCAUUGGAAACUGGAGAACUUGAGUACAGAAGAGGAAAGCGGAAUUCCACGUGUAGCGGUGAAAUGCGUAGAGAUGUGGAGGAACACCAGUGGCGAAGGCGGCUUUCUGGUCUGUAACUGACGCUGAGGCGCGAAAGCGUGGGGAGCAAACAGGAUUAGAUACCCUGGUAGUCCACGCCGUAAACGAUGAGUGCUAAGUGUUAGGGGGUUUCCGCCCCUUAGUGCUGCAGCUAACGCAUUAAGCACUCCGCCUGGGGAGUACGGCCGCAAAGGCUGA
rnacentral:rRNA from 1 species